CUGACCCCAUGCCGAACUCAGAAGUGAAACGCCGUAGCGCCGAUGGUAGUGUGGGGUCUCCCCAUGUGAGAGUAGGGCAUUGCCAGGC
rnacentral:rRNA from 6 species